AUCCAAAUAUAAAUUAUCCAAAUAUUAAACAACCAUCAUCUGUAAUCCACAAUUAGAACAAUUAUGCAUAUGAAAAUGUAGGUGCAUAAUAUAAUAAGGAACCAUGGUAAUUUAAAAUACCCAAAAUGCACAAAUUCGGUUUUGUAAAAUAAUGAGUGAAAUGGAUUAUUUUAAACCGAUUAUAUUGAUCCAAGAGAUGAUUUAAGAUAAUGGAUGGUGUUGAUUGGAUCAAAAGUGGACUAAAAAGAGCUUAAAUUGGAAGAGAAAGAAAUGGGUAAGUUAGGUUUUUGAUUUUGGGUUUUAUGUGGAGAGAUAAUGAAAUCAAGUUUUGAGAGUGAAAAUUGAAGGAGUAAUGGAUGAAUAAUGAGUUGGAUGAUUGAUUUUGGCAAGAGAAUGAGUGAAAGAUGAAGAAAUUUGAGAGAGAAAUGAAGAGGUACUGUUCACGUGUGAGAGAUGAUGAUGAAAUGAUGAAGAACAAGUGAAGAAAUGAAGAUUGGGAAGUGUUUAAUGAGAGUGAAAUGCAUGAUUAUUGGUUUGAAUGAUUAAUUUUGGCAUAAAAAUGAUUGAGAAAUGAAGAGAAAUUGAUUGGAAAUGGAAGAGAGUAGCUCACGGUUUUGAAGAGAGAAAGAACAAGUGCAGAAAAAUAACGAAGGAAGAAGAAGAAGCAAAAAAAAAUUUACUCCAACCCGUGACCAAGCGGCUAGCCGCUUGGGGCAGGCGGCUAGCCGCCUCAUGGCUGCCCAUCUGCACCAAUUGUUUUGAUCUCCGGC
rnacentral:lncRNA from 1 species